rnacentral:rRNA from 1 species
UACGUAGGGUGCGAGCGUUGUCCGGAAUUAUUGGGCGUAAAGAGCUCGUAGGCGGUUGAGUAAGUCGGGUGUGAAAACUCUGGGCUUAACCCAGAGCCGCCACUCGAUACUGAUCUGACUUGAGUUCGGUAGGGGAGCAGGGAAUUCCUAGUGUAGCGGUGAAAUGCGCAGAUAUUAGGAGGAACACCGGUGGCGAAGGCGCUGCUCUGGGCCGAAACUGACGCUGAGGAGCGAAAGCGUGGGUAGCAAACGGG